AGACAUGCGUGUCGAACGACCCCUAGCCAUGAAGGGGACGUGGCAUACGGCUCAGUAACACGUGGCUAACCUACCCUUGAGACAGGGACAACCCCGGGAAACUGGGGCUAAUCCCCGAUAGAUGAGAACUCCUGGAACGGGUUUUCGUCCAAAAGGCGCCUAGAUCAUGCUUUUAGACGCUGCUCAAGGAUGGGGCCGCGGCCGAUCAGGCUGUUGGUGAGGCAAUGGCUCACCAAACCUUUAACCGGUACGGGCCGUGGGAGCGGGAGCCCGGAGAUGGGAACUGAGACAAGGUCCCAGGCCCUACGGGGCGCAGCAGUCGCGAAAACUUGUCAAAGCACGAAAGUGUGAACGGGCUACCCCGAGUGCCGUCCGCUGAGGAUGGCUUUUCUCUGCUGUAAGGAAGCGGAGGAAUAAGGCGAGGGCAAGUCUGGUGUCAGCCGCCGCGGUAAUACCAGCUCGCCGAGUGGUAGGGAUGAUUAUUGGGCUUAAAGCGUCCGUAGCCGGCCUUUCAAGUCUCUCGUUAAAUCCAGCGAUUCAAUCGUUGGACUGCGGGAGAUACUGUUAGGCUAGGGGGCGGGAGAAGCCGACGGUAUUUUCGGGGUAGGGGUAAAAUCCUAUAAUCCCGGGAAGACCACCAGUGGCGUAGGCGGUCGGCUAGCACGCGCUCGACGGUGAGGGACGAAAGCUGGGGGAGCGAACCGGAUUAGAUACCCGGGUAGUCCCAGCUGUAAACGAUGCUGGCUAGGUGUUGAAGCGGCUACGAGCCGCUUCAGUGCCGCAGGGAAGCCAUUAAGCCAGCCGCCUGGGGAGUACGGCCGCAAGGCUGAAACUUAAAGGAAUUGGCGGGGGAGCACCACAAGGGGUGAAGCUUGCGGUUUAAUUGGAUUCAACGCCGGG
rnacentral:rRNA from 1 species